UACAGAGGUCCCAAGCGUUGUUCGGAUUCACUGGGCGUAAAGGGUGCGUAGGCGGUCGGGUAAGUCUGAUGUGAAAUCUCACAGCUUAACUGUGAAACUGCAUUGGAUACUAUCCGGCUUGAGGAAUGGAGGGGAGACUGGAAUACUUGGUGUAGCAGUGAAAUGCGUAGAUAUCAAGUGGAACACCAGUGGCGAAGGCGGGUCUCUGGACAGUUCCUGACACUGAGACACGAAGGCCAGGGGAGCAAACGGG
rnacentral:rRNA from 1 species